UGAGAGCAGUCGAUUUCUCCAGGAUACUGCUGGUCUGAAGCCAGACAGCUCUUAAACCUGUUUCUGGGUCAGUCACUCCUCUUUCUAACUCUAUCUUCCUUAAUUGUUCUCUCCUUCUCGCUCUGUCUCUAUCAGCCUCUCUUUGUCUUCCUCUCCUGUAAUAACAGAGCUGGCAUUUGCAAGGAGGCCACAGCAGGGUUCGCAGAAGAGCUCCCCAAUCACCAAAAUUCCAGGAUUAAACGACUGCCCAAGACAUACAGCUAAUGGAAGACUUGGUCACACCCUACCUGCCAGGCAGAGUCCAAAGAUGGUGAGAAGGACCAGGAUGUAGAGGAACACGAUGGCGUACUUGAUGGCUGAGAGGGAGUUCAGCUUGGCAGGAGGCAGGGAUUAAGCUGUACAUCCCCUUCAGGUCAAGAGGAUGAAGCGAUUUUCAAAGGUU